UGGGGAAUUUUGGACAAUUGGGCGAAAGCCUGAUCCAGCAAUGCCGCGUGUGUGAAGAAGGCCUUCGGGUUGUAAAGCACUUUUGUCCGGAAAGAAAUCCUUGGCUCUAAUACAGUCGGGGGAUGACGGUACCGGAAGAAUAAGCACCGGCUAACUACGUGCCAGCAGCCGCGGUAAUACGUAGGGUGCAAGCGUUAAUCGGAAUUACUGGGCGUAAAGCGUGCGCAGGCGGUUUGCUAAGACCGAUGUGAAAUCCCCGGGCUCAACCUGGGAACUGCAUUGGUGACUGGCAGGGCUAGAGUAUGGCAGAGGGGGGUAGAAUCCCACGUGUAGCAGUGAAAUGCGUAGAGAUGUGGAGGAAUACCGAUGGCGAAGGCAGCCCCCUGGGCCAAUACUGACGCUCAUGCACGAAAAGCGUGGGGAGCAAAACAGGAUUAGAUACCCUGGUAGUCCACGCCCUAAACGAUGUCAACUAGUUGUUGGGGAUUCAUUUCCUUAGUAACGUAGCUAACGCGUGAAGUUGACCGCCUGGGGAGUACGGUCGCAAGAUUAAAACUUAAAGGAAUUGACGGGGUCAUAGCUGUUUCCU
rnacentral:rRNA from 1 species